CAAUAGCGUAUAUUUAAGUUGUUGCAGUUAAAAAGCUCGUAGUCGGAUUUUGGCUGAGAACGAUCGGUCCGCCGUUAGGUGUGCACUGAUUGGUCUCAGCUUCCUGGUGAGGAGGUGUGCUUCACGGCCACUUAGUCACCGUGGUUACUUUGAAAAAAUUAGAGUGUUCAAAGCGGGCUUACGCUUGAAUAUAUUAGCAUGGAAUAACACCAUAGGACUCCUGUCCUAUUUCGUUGGUCUCGGGACGGGAGUAAUGAUUAAGAGGAACAGUUGGGGGCAUUCGUAUUUCAUUGUCAGAGGUGAAAUUCUUGGAUUUAUGAAAGACGAACUUCUGCGAAAGCAUUUGCCAAUGAUGUUUUCAUUGA
rnacentral:rRNA from 1 species